CUGACGUAGGUCACGAACGGGUGUAGCAUUAAUGUAUCAAACAAACCAACCAACCAUUUAGAAUAAUGGCCACCAAAGUACUGAUAACAAUUUGUUUCCAUUUAUGAAUCUGUUAUCAUCAUAGUCAAAGAUAUAAAUAAUACUGUUUGCCUUGAAAUCAAAGAUAAACAGCCAUGCCUGUACAGUUUUGAGACGUUCCUAAAUAAUAGUACUAAAUAUGCGCGUAUUCGCCAUGUUUCGGUAUCUGAAUUAACACACAAAUUUGAUAUUGGAGAGUUUUUCUAUAAUUUGUCGGAAUAUUAUAAUUUUGGUUACAACUGGACAACAAAAAUUGACACUACGUAAAUUUCUGCAUCUUAAACCUAACCAGUGGCGGCUCGUGAGUCUGAGCAAUGGUAGUGCUGUGAAAGGGGAAAAAUCAGAAUAGUUUUUCAACACAUAACAAUAUAAAUAAAUGAAAAGUAAAUUUAUAUUAGGAGAAAACCCAAACGUGCUCGACGAUGUUUAAACAUAACCUUCCAGGACUUAACCAGCACUUCUCCGGAAUUCCUCCAGCACUUCACCAUGACCAAAGUACUUCCGCAUAAAAUCUCUACGACUUCUCCAGCACUACUCUAGAACUUAUCCAGGACUUUUCCAGGGAUUUUCUAGGAUUUCUCCAGCACUACUCUAGAACUUCUCCAGGACUUCUCCAGCAAUAUUCUAGAACUUAUCCAGGAUAUCUCCAGGAAUUUUCCAAGACUUCUCCAGCAAUUCUCCAGGACAUCACUACGACCACCCUAUGAACACAAUAGAAAUUCUCCAGGACAACCCAACCCAUCGUAAAACAACAACCAUAUAUAACGUACCCUUAAAUCACCCGACUUAACUAAACCUAACCUAACCUAACCAAUCCUUACCUGACCUAAAGUAACCAAACCUAACCUAAUCCAAAAGCAACUUAAUCAAAUUUAACUUAUCCCAAUCAAACUUGAACGAAUCCAACAUAAUCGACCCGCAUAGGAUCAAAUCAACCACCGCUUAAGGACUUCCAAAUAACCUUCCUGGACUUCUCCAGCAAUUCUCCAUGAUAAAAAAAUUUGCGCUUAACGUCUCCAAGACUUCUCGGACACUACACUAGGACUUUUCCAGGAUUUCUCCAGGACCCCCAACGAUACCGCAAGGACUGGCUAGGAUAGCUUUCUAAAGCUGUAUGUUGCCCUGAAUAUGGAAACUUCAGCGUAUUUUAGGCACACUCUCAGGCAGCUAAAUUUUCUCGAAAAAAAGAGUUUAUUUAGUGAGGUGUCGUAGCAUACUGACAAGUUAUUUUAGUGGAAAUUAAGUUCUUUGUACAUAUGAGAAGUAAGCCGAUACAUGAAAUAAGUGACGCAGCUGGAAAUGUGAGCACAGCUUAUACAAGAAUUUAAUGAUCUAAACAACUUCAGUGAAAAAGUAUGGGCUACCUGCAUAUUUCCUUUGCUGAAGAUGCCGCUCUGACGUUCCUCCAAAAGCCAGGAUGCAGCUCCUUUGUCGGCAUUUCCAGUCCCGGAGUCUCCAUACGUUUCUGCUGCAAGGUAUGGGAGUAACUGAUUAGUCAUUUGGGACCAAGACGCUCUGUGCCAAGUACAUUCUCUGGGCACAUUUUUCAUUCCUCUGCUAUGUAACUGCGCUCUGUCUUCUACCGUCAACAUGCAACGGAAUAUCGGCAGCGAUUACUGGCGGAUCGGAAGGGAUAAAGAAGGAAAUGGUCAAGACAUAUGUUACAGCAUGCACUUGGAGACGCUUACUUAAACUAUAAAAUAGUUGCGUUGGAAAUCAAGCCUGGUACUUGCUAAAACGAAGUAAGAAAUUAUGCGUUAAAGAUAUUCUCUUAUGAUACAGAUCGACUUUUAAAUAAAACCAUUUUUAAAUUUACACAA